UAGCCAUAAUGUGGGCAAGCACUUAAGAGAUCCUUGAACCUUUCUCAGCAUUGGAAGAAGGUUUCUUCCUUUUUCUAUGAGAAGUUCAUAAUGUCCCUUCUAAGGGU